rfam:Schistosoma margrebowiei strain Zambia genome assembly, scaffold: SMRZ_contig0005277
AUCCAACUGACGAGUCCCAAAGAGGAAGAAACGUGCAUCCUGGAU